rnacentral:lncRNA from 1 species
GUUUUUGGAGAAGGUGAGUAUGAUGGUGGUGGUGGAGAACUGUAGACAUAUGGUGGUGGAGGAGAUUUGUAGUCAACCUUAGGGGAAGGUGAGUAGUAUGGUGGUGGAGGAGAUUUGUAGUCAACCUUAGGGGAAGGUGAGUAGUAUGGUGGUGGUGGUGAACUAUAGACGUAUGGUGGUGGUGGAGAUUUGUAAUCUACCUUAGGGGCAGGUGAGUAGUAUGGUGGUGGGGGUGAGCUGUAGACAUACGGUGGUGGGGGAGAUUUGUAGUCUACCUUCGGGGAAGGUGAGUAGUAUGGUGGUGGUGGUGAGCUAUAGACGUACGGUGGUGGAGGAGAUUUGUAGUCUACUUUAGGGGAAGGUGAGUAGUAUGGUGGUGGUGGUGAGCUGUAGACGUACGGUGGUGGGGGAGAUUUGUAGUCUACCUUAGGGGAAGGUGAGUAGUAUGGUGGUGGUGGUGAGCUGUAGACGUACGGUGGUGGGGGAGACUUGUAAACUACUUUAGGAGAAGGAGAGUAGUAUGGUGGUGGUGGUGAGCUGUAGACGUACGGUGGUGGGGGAGACUUGUAGACUACCUUAGGAGAAGGAGAGUAGUAUGGUGGUGGUGGAGAACUGUAGACAUACGGUGGUGGAGGAGACUUGUAGACUACCUUAGGAGAAGGAGAAUAAUAUGGUGGUGGUGGAGAACUGUAAACGUAUGGUGGUGGGGGAGACUUGUAGACUACCUUAGGAGAAGGAGAGUAGUAUGGUGGUGGUGGAGAACUGUAGACAUACGGUGGUGGGGGAGACUUGUAGACUACCUUAGGAGAAGGAGAAUAGUAUGGAGGUGGUGGAGAACUGUAAACAUACGGUGGUGGGGGAGACUUGUAGACUACCUUAGGAGAAGGAGAGUAGUAUGGUGGUGGUGGAGAACUAUAGACAUACGGUGGUGGGGGAGACUUGUAGUGUACCUUAGGGGAAGGAGAGUAAUAUGGUGGUGGUGGAGAACUGUAGACAUACGGUGGUGGGGGAGACUUGUAGUGUACCUUAGGAGAAGGAGAGUGAUAUGGUGGUGGUGGAGAACUGUAAACGUACGGUGGUGGGGAGGACUUGUACACAACCUUUGGAGAUGGAGAAUAACAUGGAGGAGGUGGUGGACAGACACAUACAUGAGGGUGUGGUGGAGAUUUGUAUAGAACCUUAGGGGAUGGUGCGUGGUAUGGUGAUGGAGGAGACUUGUAGUAUACUUUAGGAGAAGGGGAGUAGUAUGGUGGUGGUGGAGAACUGUAAACGUAUGGUGGUGGGGGAGACUUGUAGACUACCUUAGGAGAAGGAGAGUAGUAUGGUGGUGGUGGAGAACUGUAGAC